CUUCAUCUCAAUGCUGUCUUCUACUUGUGUCCUACUUAAGGUGUCCUAGACACAAGGUGACACUAGAAAAUAGACUUCUGUAGGAAUGCUGCACUCUAUUUGACGAGUUCAACAGAAAAAAAAACCAUAAACUUUAACAAAGAAGAAAUGAAACAGUGGGAAUGAGUCAUUCAUUACUGUGGAAGAAAAAUAGAAAUCCUGAUGAAAACAAAAGAUUGAUUCUCACACCUACUAUCUACCAACAAUCUCUUCUACCACAUCCACAAUCUGUGAACUCUCCUAUGCCUAUGUGUAGAGGGACACCAUGAUAUCUCACUGAUAAAUGUCUUACAUGUGAAAAUCUGGUUCAGUCAUGAGGAAAAGUUUUCUUGAAAAUAGCAUCCUCAAGAGGAACAGAAAUGACCAGGCCCCAGACCACUCCUACCAUCAGUAAUGGGCCUGUUCUCCACUAGCAGCCACCACUGCCCUUCUUCCUGCCUGUACCUGGAUGAUAUCAGAAGAAUCAGAUUCAAAUGCAUAAGUCUUUUCUCAGAAGAUGAGAUUUAAAGGAUGUGGCUGAAAGAGUAAGAGAAAAGGUGGUCUACAGAGUGAAUUCCAGGAUACCCAGGGCUACACAGAGAAACCCUGCCUCGAAAAAACCAACAACAACAAACUUACAUAUACUUAUUGAACUCGAUGUACCAGGAUUUUUGUUCCAUGCUUUAUAGGGAUUAUCUCAUUGUAGAAAUAUUCCCAUAGAAAACAGCUUUAACUUAAAAUAUUUUGAAACUUAAGCUUUAGUUGACUGAAAAUUGUACAUAUAUGGAAAACACACUUACUAAGGAGACUGAUUAAAUGAGGCUUUCAAGUUCUCCAUUUGGACUGUGUGUGUGCACAAGCAUAAUAACUCUGGUAAUGAUGGUGUGAGUAGAAGCAUAUGUAUGAAGAUAUCUAAUUGAUAAAUGUUAAGUAGCUGCUUCUUUUUCUUCAUCCAUACACUGUAAUGUGUAAGGAUAGAGUCCUUUUGCAAACAAGCAUUCCAAACAGGAAACAUUCCACCUUCUCCUCUUCAGAAAACAUCUAAAGGACAAAACUAAAGAAAAAACAUGGCAUACGUUCCUAUACUCAGAGCAACCUGCUGCCAAGACAGUGAAGGAAGCAGAGCAUGAACACAGCGGAUCACAGAACAUGCUCUCUUAUGUAAAUCAUUAAAGAUUUCAAAGUGAACGUUGGUAUAGUUCUUAGAAAACAUGAGAAUAAUAUUUGUGUCUAGGAAAAACGACUGCCUCAUAUCUCUAAGGGAAAAGGAAGAUUAAAGGUAAUUCCUCUUAAACGCAUUCACGACCGGCCAGGAAGAACGCAACAAACCGGAAUC
rnacentral:lncRNA from 1 species